UACGUAGGGAGCAAGCGUUGUCCGGAAUCAUUGGGCGUAAAGCGCGCGUAGGCGGCCUCAUAAGUCCGUUGUGAAAGUCAAAGGCUCAACCUUUGAAAGCCGAUGGAUACUGUGAGGCUAGAGUACGGAAGAGGCGAGUGGAAUUCCUGGUGUAGCGGUGGAAUGCGCAGAUAUCAGGAGGAACACCGGCGGCGAAGGCGGCCUUCUGGGCCUGUACUGACGCUGAGGAGCGAAAGCGUGGGGAGCGAACAGG
rnacentral:rRNA from 1 species